GGCAGCGCCCAGCCCCGUUUUGGAUUCGCUUUCCUUCUUUUCGCUGUUACCGAGGUCGGCUGAAUCCCCGCUCCAAGCACCCACAGUGAUGGACCCAUAGGUCCCCAGCCUCCAAUUUAACGAUAUUUUCUCUAUUUUGUGAAAAUUUGGCUCAAAAUAAGCCGUUUUAGUAAUCUGUUUUAAUACCUGUUAUUAUAUAUUUUCUGCUAUAGCAGUAAUUGCUGCUAACUGCACUAAUUUGUUGGAGUUGGGGUUUUCUGUGCAAUCCAGCCUGAAAGCAACGACCUUGGGACCAGCAGAUUGUCGCCCCGCUGCCACCACCCAUGUGGACGCAGGAUGUCAGCAGGGCCAUCGGCCCCUCUGAGGUGUCCCCAGAGCUGCUGCAGCCCCUGGUGACUGUGGUGGCCACCUUGGGCAAGUUGGGGACCAUCCCUGGUGACAUCUCCCUGGGAGGGGACAUGGGCUCACUGCGGGCCAGGCUACUGACCUUCAGCUCUGGCGUGCGCAAAGCCAUGGUGCACCCAGAUGGCGAUGCCACCCUCCUCCGGCGUGCCCUGGGGGCAUCCAAGGAACAGCCCAGUGCCCCCACAGCCAUCACUGACUCGUGGCAGAACGCGGUGACUGCAGUGAAGGACAUCUGGGCCAAGCUGCAGGAGGAUGCUGCAUGCCUGAAGAAUGCCUGUGAGACUGUGGCCACUGCCAAGGCCACCAAUGAGGCCACCAAGGGCCACUUGGUGGAAGCAGUGACACGGGAGGACAAAGCACAUAAAGGGUUGAUAGCUGCCACCAGGGUGGUGCCGUUGUCCUCAGAGGUGGCCCAGGUGACAGAGGUGGUGGCAGCCCAUGAUGCGCGGGUGGCAGAGGCCAGGGAAGGGCUGCAGGCAGCCGCCAAGGCCACUGAGGAGGUGGCAGCGGCAGUGGUGGCAGCAAUAGCAGCGAAGGAGAGGGGACAACAUGCAGCAGUGGCCCAUGGGCUCCUGGAGCAGUUGGUAGCCGCCUGUAUGGGGGCCUAUAACUACUACAGUCAUGUGGAGCAUUGCCUCAGGGACAUCAAGGCCAUGGUGGGUGUCACUACUGGAGGUGGUGGCCCUGAUGUCCCCAAGGCCACCCAAGGGGACAUGGGUAUCCCCAAGGAGCUAGCAGAGAUAGUGGUGGUGGCUGAGGCGCUGUGGGACGCCAGUGCCCGCCUGGCCCAGGAGCACCUCUUGGGGACACUGCGGGGUGUUCGGAGCCUGCUGGCCACCUCCAGUGUCACUGAGGCCACCAAAGUCACCCAGCGCUGCCAAGAGGCCACCAACGCCCUCCCUGGGCUGCUGCCACCGGGGCUGUGCUAGGGGACAAACACGUCCAUCAGGGACCGGUGGUAUCAACAACACCAUGAGAUCAUGGAGACAGCAGAUGGGGCCGUUAGGACCACCAUUCCAACCACCAAUGGAGUGAGGGCUGUCAUGAAAUAUCACCUCAGUGUCACCUCCGUGCAUCCCCUCAACACCUCCAGGGAUGCCAGCACUUCCUGGUAAAAAAUGGGAAAACAGUUUUGUUUUAUAAAAAUUAUUUUGUUUUAAAAAAAUGGUUUUGCUUUAUAAAAAUGUUAUCACC
rnacentral:lncRNA from 7 species